GUUCGACUGCCUUCUUCGGAUAUAGUCAGUGGGAGCCAAGUUACUCCCCGUGGCUGCGUCUCUAUCACUGUGUCCUCAAGCGUUCGGAAACACACUGAAUCAACGUUGUCAACACUUUCCACUCAUUAUGGCUUGGACGCACCUUCUCUUCAUCUGCAUUGUGCAGUUUGCCGCUGUCUCAGCCUCAGCCGCCAAGGCGAAUACCACCGCGGACAUCAGCGUCGGGUCAAACGAGACGACAACACAAACGUCGUUGUUGACAGCUGCGCCGAGUUCGAUCCCGACAGCGGACCGCACUCUGAGCGCGACGCAAAACGCGACGAAUUUAAGUGGCAACGCGUCCGCCACCACCACCGCCAACACCACCAUCGCCGCGUCUUCGAUCUCAACGUCAACGAUCAAUUGUCCAACGACUAUCGCGAUUAGCAGAACGACGACGAUCGCAGUGUCGUCUCUGCCGAAAACGCACGUUAUUGCUGGGUCCGCGGCCGCCGUCGUUCUGCUGGUGCUCGUGACGGGGAUGUACUUGUGCUACAGGAGCAGGAGGUACAACUCCUUUUGGUUUCCUCGUGGAAUGGAUUCAGAACUGGGCAUGAAUGAAAUGAAUAGAAAAAACGCCGACGCGGUGUCGUCGACGUCGUCGGAGAGCUCCGUCUACUCCCCCUGCCGAGAUCGCCGAGAUUGCCGCGCGGGCCAAUGAGCUGGACCUCUCCCGCAAGGCCCUGCACACGGAGACGGACUCCAACAAGGAUGACUGCGAGAUGACGACUGAAAAUGACGGGGAAGAUAUCCACCCAAGCGGCGGCAAUGACAUCGUCGAGAAUGGAACCGACAACGGCAGCAGUGAUGCCACCACUCACCUCAUCGAGCAAGAUUCUGAGGUUGAUGGAGCGGUCGUUCAUCCAUAAGUCUUCCCACAGAUGUACAGGGAACACACCAUGCAGGACGCCCCCCUCUACGAUGAACCCUUAACCCCAGGUUAACAAGAGACGGUCAGCGAGCAUCUGGAUAGCUGUUCAACGCCUCGCAGAGAGAGAGAGACACCGAGCCACCACAACGAUCGGAAAGCUGAUGAUGGUACCAAGGUGCCCUCAUUCUUCAACUCUGAUCGCCUCCUCCCUUGUGUGUCGUGUGAUUGUGUUGUUGUAUCGCGCUUCGUGUGACUGUGUGGUCGUACGAUGGGCUCCCCAGUGCACGCAUUUUUACAUUGGCGUUGACUGCCGUGUGUUACAAUGAACACAAAAAAAUAUGGCUUUCAGAACAAUAGAUUUUUUUUAUUUCAUUGUUGGAGGGUGUCUCGUCUAGUUAACAGUUUAUAAUGUAGAAUUAAUAUGAAUUUACAUACCAAGUGCUGAUAUAGGAACCAGUAAAAUAUUUUUAUCGGGUCAAGAGCUAAUUUACACACCUAAAAUAUUGGCCUACAAUUUUUUUAAUCCUAUGCACAUGUAUAUUUAAGGCUGAACAUCACUAACAUAGACGCGUGCUCACAAUACAAGUCUAUUCGGCACAGAUGUUUUCCCAUGUUAAACUGUGCAGUGUUUAUUUUUCAAUUAAUACCCUCUUAUAAAAAAUGUAAAUCAUCCGACUUGCAGGUUAAUGUCAUCUUUGCCAACUGUGUAUUAUCAAGCAGCCACAUUUUAAAACACUAAAUGGCAUCUAUAUGAGUAUAUAUCUCAUUGUCAGAAUAUAGUGUGCAGAUCUAUAUACAAUAAUACACAAUUGAAAUCAACUUAAUGUCAAUAUAAUCAUAGAUAAAUGACCCAAAGUUUUUUUUUUUAAAUAAUACAGCCAUCACAGGUGUAAAUUACUUAAAGAGGCCAGAAGCAACUCGUAUAACCACUUCGUACGUGAUGGUCCCGCACAUCCUACAUGCGAACAUUGAUAUUCGAUCAAAUUAUUCAAUCAAGCCGUCACAAAUAACCCAUCACAACACAUCGGGACACGGUGGCCUCUUCGUUCGAUCACCAAAACGAGAACGUUUUGACCGCGGCCGAGGAGAUGCUAUCCAUCGUAAAAACUAAAACUCUCACCCCAGCGUUGCGAGAAGGUUUGGAAACGGAGCUGUGUCCGUGACCUCUUUACCUCAUUCAACUCGCUCCCCCUUGCUCCCUUCAAUGGGUGUUGUGCCCACUUGAGCCGGCCGAUGGCUACGAUGGGGGAAACGUGAUACUGGUGAUGGAUUUGCUCAGAGUCAGAAUGUUUCUCUGGUUAUAUUAAAGGCCGCACGAGUAUUCACGUUUCAAGCCGUCACGUUUUGCUCCUGAUUAGGUUUUUUUUUGUGGCGAACUAACAAAGUGAGGUUCAGUUAAUAGGUAAAAUAUGUACGAGUGUAUGUGUGUGUGUAAAUAUACUGUAUAUGACACAGUAUUCAUAUACUGUAUUUUUUUGUUACAAGCUUAUUGGAAAAGUGCAGUUUUAUUUUGUUCAGGGUUAAGCAAACGAGACGGUAAGUCAAUCAACAGACCGCAUGUGGUGGGGUUACGUUUGGGUGCUCCCACAACUUCCAAGAUGCCAGGCUAGCAGGGAAGAGUAGGCCAAAUUACCCUCCUUGAGCAAUAAAUUACAGGGCUGCACCUUAUAUAUCUUAGAAUGUGAAAAGAACAUCAUUAUACAUCUCAGGAAUGAUUAUGGUCACGAUCAAGUGAGACAUGAGUGGAUCAAAUAUAUGUGGUCUUGAAACUGUGCAUAUAGCAGUCAAUUAUGGUUAACAUAUGCAAAUAGUGUAUAUGAUUGCUGCUAAAUACAUUUAACAAAAUACGAGUACAUACAUAACACCCAAUACAUUCAACAUUGUUUUGAAAUCUCCACUGGUCACGUGCUCAAAGAAACGCUUUUUUGUGACCUUAACUUUCACGAAUAAUCAAGCUGAAAAACGUAUAAUUUGUUAUCAGCAUCGGCAAUUGGGGAAAAUUAAUAUAUCUUAAAUAUAUGUUAAAAUAAACUGUAAGAAUUACGUAUGUUAAUAAAAAGACAGUUAUGUUGGAUGAAAUUCAACUAACUCUGUUACGUGUGCCCCUGGUGUUUAUAAUGAUGCCAAAAUAUGAACCCAAUACAAACCUCAGUGUCAAGACUCUUGAGGAGGGAACCGCAUUGGGAUGCUUGGCCAAUUCUGUUUUGGAGACUUUCUGGUACGUGGGAGGAGACUGGAAUACCCGGAGAACACCCAUACGUAAGAGUGCUAACACACCCAAACUCUGCACAGAUUGAUUCAACAAUCCAUUGGUGGAGUGCGAUCUCCUGACCUCCCCACAGGCCCUGCCUACGACAUCUGGCAAGCCCCCGUGGUCAUCCAUUCAAGCAGUAACCAGGCGGAACUUGCUUAGCUUCUGAACUCUGAUUUGUUUGGGCACGUUGAGGGUCAUUGUGAUCACGGGAAUGUCUAUGACAGUGCAUCAGAGGCCCCGUCUGGGUGGCUAUAACACUGGUCAACAACAAAAAAAUUAUUUUUUUCUGGCCUGGACUUUUGCAGCUGUUUUAGACUAAUUUCAGAGUGCCAAUUCCAAAUCUGAUCUCAGAUUUGCUCUAUCACAUCUCAUUCUUCUGCUAUCGGCAUACCCCAUUUUCAUUGAUUUUACCCGAAAUUAACUCUGUCACUUAUGAUUGCAAGUUGUUGCGAGUCAGUGACUGCUUUAGUGUUAAAAUAUGGUGCUGUAUUUUUAGGAUAGUGUGUUUAUAAUAUCAUUUUAUGUAGAUAUCCACAUUUAUUUAAUAUUUUUCUUCUGCAGUUUUUAUUGAAAAUGCAAUAUUCGAUAUCUCAACAACCUGAUGUGAUAGACAAAAACUGAUGCCAGAUUUCGAAUCAGCACCCCAAAAUUACCUUAAAACCGUUGGAAUACCUUAUGCCAGAAAAAGUGUGUUGACCAGUGUAAUAAGACCCCUGCUAUGUGGCGGUGGGACAUUGGUGGACCAUUAAAUCAGUCGGCUCUCUUUCCAGUCACCUUGAUUGUUUCCAGCUCCAAAAGUAGGAUUGUCCAAUACUUUACCUCGAUAUAUAGAUAGAGCCCUUUCUAAAUACGGACCAACGUAGCAUGAACACGUGGUUCUCCUUUGAGAACCACGUGAAGUGUUUCAUUCUACGGUUCGUUAUGAAGAUCAGUUUGAAGCUCAUAUUUUCCGGGUAAAGUCCAGACCGAUGCAAUGUAAGUUAAACAUACGUAAGUUAAACAUGGCUAUUUUUAUUUUCCAAAUGUGUUUAUUUAAUAUAGUCAUGUGUAUAUAUGUGGCAAAGUCAAGGGUCGUGAUCGGGCCAAAAGGGCUUUGUAUAUUCUUGGAAGAACAAUUUAAGAUGAAAAGAAUGUUUAUAGUAAAUGUCUAUUGAAGUGUGUGCUUAAAGAGGGUCUAUAAGUAUGCUUGAGGACAGGUUAACUUUAAAUUGUCUUGACUUCCCCAACCUCUCUUGAGUACAGACUGGCUCCACUUUCAUUUCCAUCAGUGGGUAUUUGAGCUACAUUAUCAUUGGCCGGUUGCGGCAGGGGGUGUGUUGCGCAGUGGUUAGAGAACCCAGAAAUCUGAGUUCAAUUCCCAGUUACAGCUUAAAAUUAGUGGCAAGUGACAUCUAAAUCAACUCGACCAUCACCAACCCACGAUGACCAGCGUGUUAAAGUAUGGUCAAAUAACCCCUCUUGAUGGAUAUGGCAUGGCGAGGCCUUCACCCAGCAGCUGAUUGACAAUGGGCUGUAAAUUUUUGACGCUACAUUUUGGUCGUGUUAUUCACCGUGUUAACCAGUCUUCAAACAAGGCCCCAAAAAUGCUGUAACUUGCUUAAUGUUGACGUGAAUAUCCCAUGGAUUUAGUUACUUUGUGUCACGUGAAAAAAACCUGAUGUAACACAACUUGCUUUAUGAUAAUUCAAAGAGUGUUCGUCGGGGUGUAACGAUUCAUCUAUUGAUUUAAAUUCUUAAG